AUACAGAGGGUGCGAGCGUUAAUCGGAAUUACGGGGCGUAAAGCGCGCGUAGGCGGCUUAUUAAGUCAGAUGUGAAAUCCCCGGGCUCAACCUGGGAACUGCAUCUGAUACUGGUAAGCUAGAGUUUUGGAGAGGGAAGUAGAAUUUCAGGUGUAGCGGUGAAAUGCAUAGAGAUCUGAAGGAAUACCAGUGGCGAAGGCGACUUCCUGGCCAAAAACUGACGCUGAGGUGCGAAGGCGUGGGUAGCAAACGGGAUUAGAGACCCUAGUAGUCC
rnacentral:rRNA from 1 species